AACAACAGGAGAGGCAAGCAGAGCACAGUAGGAACUGAAUGGGGUUUGCGUGAAAGAAAAAUCCAGGGAAAGGUGUCCUGCAGAACGUGCACGGUGGAGUCUAGUUCCUGUCCCCUAGAGUGUGGGUUAGCGUUUAUGACGGCCUUCAUGAAUGAGUGCAAUAGAAGUGACACUGUAUGAUUUCUGAGGCUGGAUCAUAAAAGGCGAAAGAGAAACCACUGCAAGCUGGCUUUUGGGAUGCUCACCUUUGGAACCUGGCCGCCAUGUUGUGAGAGAGCCCAGGCCUCGUGGAGAGGCCACAAGUAGAUGUUCUGGCUGACAGCAAUCAACAAUUGCCAGAUAAACAACUGAAUAAGCAUUCAGAUGACAUCAGCUCCCAGGCCUUGGGGAUUCCAGCUAAGGCCUCAGACAUUGAGGCACAGAGAUAGGCUGCUCCCAGUGUGCCCUGCUCACAUUCCUGAGCCAUUAAAACCACAGAGACACGAAAACGAUGUUGUUUCCAGUCACUAAGUUUGUGUGUGAUUUGUUAUGCAUGAAUGGGGGCUGAAAGAGGCAACCAGCCCUAGGGCAGACUUAUCUACUCUCCCACCUAAACAAAUCCUUUGUUUUAUAAAAUUUAAGUUAGGAUGGGAGACAUAGAGAUUGUUGGUGCUUGAAGGAACCCUGGGGAUCACUUGACCCAACAUUCCCUCCUCUUCUCCUGAGAGUCAGAUGUAGAAUGAAUGGUGAAUGCUUGACAGUAAGGUCAGCUUUAGGGUUGUUUGAAGGAUGAAAUGAUAAAAUGCACAGAAAAAUGCCUGGCACUUAGUAGUUGCUCAAUAAAGCUUAAUUCUCUCUUCC
rnacentral:lncRNA from 1 species